AGCUCCAAUAGCGUAUAUUAAAGUUGCUGCAGUUAAAAAGCUCGUAGUUGGAUCUCGGGUGCAGGCUUGCGGUCCGCCUCGCGGCGGUCACUGCUCGCCCUGACCUCCAGGCCGGUGUCACCGUCCCUUGGUGCUCUUGAUUGAGUGUCUCGGGCGGCCGGUACGUUUACUUUGAAGAAAUUAGAGUGCUCAAAGCAGGCCACAGCCGCCUGAAUAAUGGUGCAUGGAAUAAUGGAAUAGGACCUCGGUUCUAUUUUGUUGGCUCUCGGAGCUCGAGGUAAUGAUUAAUAGGGACUGACGGGGGCAUUCGUAUUGCGGCGACAGAGGUGAAAUUCUUGGACCGUCGCAAGACGAACUACAGCGAAAGCAUUUGCCAAGCAUGUUU
rnacentral:rRNA from 1 species